UAGGCUGUGAUGAGCCAUUAACAUAUAUAAGAGGAUCCUUCUUGCAGUGUUAUCUUCAGUGAAAUAUCUUUGUUACGCUUGGCUUCUGAGCCUC